rnacentral:rRNA from 1 species
UACGGAGGAUGCAAGCGUUAUCCGGAAUGAUUGGGCGUAAAGCGUCCGCAGGCGGCAAUGUAAGUCUGCUGUUAAAGAGUCUAGCUCAACUAGAUAAAAGCAGUGGAAACUACAUAGCUAGAGUACGUUCGGGGCAGAGGGAAUUCCUGGUGUAGCGGUGAAAUGCGUAGAGAUCAGGAAGAACACCGGUGGCGAAGGCGCUCUGCUAGGCCGUAACUGACACUGAGGGACGAAAGCUAGGGGAGCGAAUGGG